rnacentral:misc_RNA from 1 species
GAUGAAGAACGCAGCGAAAUGCGAUAAGUAGUGUGAAUUGCAGAAUUCAGUGAAUCAUCGAAUCUUUGAACGCACAUUGCGCCCCUUGGUAUUCCAUGGGGCAUGCCUGUUCGAGCGUCAUUUGUACCUUCAAGCUUUGCUUGGUGUUGGGUGUUUGUCUCGCCUUUGCGUGUAGACUCGCCUUAAAAUAAUUGGCAGCCGGCGUAUUGAUUUCGGAGCGCAGUACAUCUCGCGCUUUGCACUCAUAACGACAGCGUCCAAAAGUACAUUUUACACUCUUGACCUCGGAUCAGGUAGGGAUACCCGCUGAACUUAAGCAUAUUAAUAAGCGGAGGA